CACAGGGGUACCUGAGUCCAGAACUGAGGGAAUGGGCUGUAGCAAGUGUGCCCAGUUUGGUUUACAUGGAUUUUUGUAAUUAUGGUCCCAGUGGGCACAGAGGAGCUGUUUGCAUCCAUGAGACCCUUAAGAGGCUUCGAGAGGUGCAUUUUGUGAAAGAAGGAUAGAUGUGAGGCCCCAUCUGGUGGAAAAAGAGUUUUGUGUGAAGAUGGGGCAAAGUUGGGCAAAGAACAAGUGAAGUAGAAGUAUGCCUGUGUGGGACAUGAAGUACUUAUUUCCCAAAAUGGAAGUGGAUUUGAUGUCAACUUUGCAAGUUAAGAAUCUAUUUCCAUCUCUGUGGUCGGAAAGUAUCAGCGUCACCGGAGAAGACUUCAGUGUGCGUCGUUCGGAGCAAUUGGGCUUUGAUAAUGUAUUAUUUGGGUCAAGAUGUGAAGUGUUGUCUGUUUGAUGGCUAGAAUGUAGUAGAGCAGUGGGGCUGAUGUCACUGUGUUUUGGUAGAUACCUGAGCAAUUAUAUCAUGAAAUGGCAUCAGUGUCAUUUCUGUUAUUUGAAUUGGAGAGGUUGGGUUCAUUUGUGUGGUCAGUUAUAGGGUGAUGUUCCUUUAAGUACUUGCACAACAUGUAAUUGUUUUCUGAAAGGAGUGGUUUGUUUGCCACUUGGAAUGUUCUAGCCAUCAAAGUUGCAAGAGGACACAGUUGAGGGUUGUAUCAUCUAUUGGGGCAUCCUGAAGUGUUUGUGAAUUGUGUUCAUAAUGUUGUGUGUGCUGUAUUUGUAAAGUUGUAAUGUAUAGUUUUGGUUGUGAUUGGAUGACUCCCUUUGUCAUCCACGUUGUAGCGUGCUAACUCACUGCAGUGAUUUUCGAAACCAUGGUACAGUGCAGUCAAACGGCCGGAAGGCUGACGUUAUAACAAAUUUGUCAGCCUUUUGGCUGUUUCGCUGUACUGUACCAUGGUU